AGUGAACGCUGGCGGUAGGCCUAACACAUGCAAGUCGAACGGCAGCACAGUAAGAGCUUGCUCUUACAGGUGGCGAGUGGCGGACGGGUGAGGAAUACAUCGGAAUCUACUUUUUCGUGGGGGAUAACGUAGGGAAACGUACGCUAAUACCGCAUACGACCUACGGAUGAAAGCAGGGGAUCUUCGGACCUUGCGCGAUUGAAUGAGCCGAUGUCGGAUUAGCUAGUUGGCGGGGUAAAGGCCCACCAAGGCGACGAUCCGUAGCUGGUCUGAGAGGAUGAUCAGGCACACUGGAACUGAGACACGCUCCAGACUCCUACGGGAGGCAGCAGUGGGGAAUAUUGGACAAUGGGCGCAAGCCUGAUCCAGCCAUACCGCGUGGGUGAAGAAGGCCUUCGGGUUGUAAAGCCCUUUUGUUGGGAAAGAAAAGCAGCAGGUUAAUACCCCGCUGUUCUGACGGUACCCAAAGAAUAAGCACCGGCUAACUUCGUG
rnacentral:rRNA from 1 species